AACGAACGCUGGCGGCAUGCCUAACACAUGCAAGUCGAACGAGACCUUCGGGUCUAGUGGCGCACGGGUGCGUAACGCGUGGGAACCUGCCUUUAGGUUCGGAAUAACAGUGAGAAAUUACUGCUAAUACCGGAUGAUGUCUUCGGACCAAAGAUUUAUCGCCUUUAGAUGGGCCCGCGUUGGAUUAGCUAGUUGGUGGGGUAAAGGCCUACCAAGGCGACGAUCCAUAGCUGGUCUGAGAGGAUGAUCAGCCACACUGGGACUGAGACACGGCCCAGACUCCUACGGGAGCAGCAGUGGGGAAUAUUGGACAAUGGGCGAAAGCCUGAUCCAGCAAUGCCGCGUGAGUGAUGAAGGCCUUAGGGUUGUAAAGCUCUUUUACCCGAGAUGAUAAUGACAGUAUCGGGAGAAUAAGCUCCGGCUAACUCCGUG
rnacentral:rRNA from 1 species